CCAAAUCGGCAUGACCUAAAAGGGAAAGAGUUCUGUAAACAAGGGGGACACUUUGUUGUCCAUCAAUGGAGAUGUGUCCUAUUUCCUCUUUGGCUUACCUUGCCAAAUCUGGUAUAUCAGACACCCAGUGACGAUUCAGGAUGUAUCAGAUCAAAGCACAUGAUGAAGGAACAUGGAGCAUAUCUUCAGUAUCUUGUGCUUUGGAGAUGAGGGAAUUGAGAGGUUAACGAGCUUAUCCAAGAUCACAUAGCUGGAAAGUGGCUGAGAUAAGGGAUUUGAAUCCAGACCAAUUUAACUCAAAAGUCUGUGCUCUGUGCUCUUUCAUCACAUCACUCCAACCCAAAGAAGAUACUAAUGCUUCAAUGACUGCAAGGACAAAAUACCUCCACACACAUCUCUUUACUACCUUCAGGGAUGAAGGAGUCUUUGGGGCCUAGAAAAGAGAACAACAGUCUCAAAGGCCCCUUGCUGAAUCAUCUAACUUCGGAGAAAACAAAACAGAAUUUUAGUUCCACCCUGAUGCUCCGGGCCGGUUGCAUCUAUCCAGGACUUAUCAACCCCUGUCCAGAAACCUUCCACCCCCUACACCUGCCCAGAAGACUUAUCACCCCCUGCCCAACUACAAAUGUCAUC